ensembl:rRNA 5S_rRNA 5S ribosomal RNA
GUCUAUGGCCAUACCGCUCUGUACCUCCUGGUCCUGUUUGAUCUCAGAAGCUAAUCGGGUCAGGCCUGGUUAUUACUUAGUAGAUGCACUGGGAAUCAUGGCACUGAGCCU